AGCUGGCCCGUGAGGGGGGCUGGACCGUCCUCCCCUUGUUAUUUCCGGAGAAAUGAGGCUGAAAGGUGGAGUUUGCCAGGGCAUGGGACUCCCAGCAAGCCCCGGGUUUAGAAGUGCUGACUGAGCACUUCCACCUCUUGCUGGAGCUCAGGGGAUGGCUCAGUGCUCAGCACUGUACAAAACCAGUCCCUCUCUUUGCAGGCUGCUCCGGCUCACAUUUAAGGCUGGUUUGUGUGCGAAAGAAAGGCAGUUUCCAAGUGACCGCACCAGCAGAGUCGCUUGCCAGGCAGGCUGGCCCUGUCGAUAGAAAGAUGGCAUCACAGCAUCUCAGCUGUCCCUGCAGGGACGCCUCCGCCACGGCUGCUCCGAGGACGUGCACCACAUCUAGCUGCUGCCACGGGCCAAACCCGCCGGGAAGACAUGGCCGCGUAGCUCCAGCUCAGCCCAGUGACCCGAGGGUCCCUGGCAGCCUGCAGAGCCCUCGCCGAAGCCUGCUGUCGUCGUUAGCCUUGCUAGGAUCGCGGUUACCAGGGUACCUGUGCGGUGCUGCUGCCGGACCUGGAGUUGCAGUACGGACAUAUCUGGCUCUGCUGGGAGAUGGAGUUAAAGGGGAGCUUGGUCCCAGUCCAGAUCAAAACUCCUGAUCAGUUUCCUGGUGGACUUAAACUGCAUCUUUGCUUCCUAUAACAGGGUUUGUCUACCUGGGGACAUGCAGGAAGGUUAAUCUGCAUUCACUUUGAAAGUGGAUAAAUUAAACCACAUUAAACAUGCUUAUUGAGAAUUAAAACGGCUUUAAUGUGGUUUAGUUUAAUUUACUUUGAGAGUGUGUUGAACUAGAUUAAAUUAAAACCAUUUUAAUUCUGAAAUCUGAAUCAUGAGUUUAACGGGCUUUAACUGAUCAACUUUAAAUUCAUACUUUUAAUUAAUUUGAAUUAAUUUUCCGGAGUGGCUCCGUGUUGACAAGCCUGGUAGUGAGAGAAAACCACACAGACACAGUUGGGUUCUGUGUAAUCACGUUUACUAUCUGUGGGAAUGUCUGUAUUGUAGUCACUGCUAGGGCUGCAGUGUGCUAUAGGUACACCUGAAUGAGUUUUAAAGUAGUUAGCUGGAAACUAAGAGCCGACUAACCCGUAUUUUAGCCUCCACCUUUAGCCUGCUGGAGUCCUAGGCCAGUUCUGGUGUAGCGAGAUGCAGACAUACAAAGCCUCGCCACACUGGUGGUUUGCUGGGACUUGGAUCUCCCCCAGAACGCAGAAAGUAUUUAAAGAAAUGCUGUCCUGCGCUCUGAGUGCGGGCAGCGGUGCGACAGAGAGAAGCCCUGCAAGGACUCUGGCUUUUCUGCUGCAGCAGAACUUGUGAGCCUGUUUUGCCUGUCUCAAGGUUUUUCCUUUGUCCCUAAUUGCAGAGGGGUCGUCCCACUUUGGAGAUGCUGACAGUCACCGCUCAGCCCGGAUGUCUCCUGCAUUCCUUCCAUCUGAUGGCUGGCUGAGCUGGUCGGAGGCUAGGGUUUUGACGAGGUUGUAGGCCGCACGUCACGUCUGGCCAGGCUGCCACAUGUGACCAUGUGGCAUGUGUGUGGAGGCUGGCUUCCCGUAAAUAGUGCCUCCACUGUAUUUCAACAUGCCGGUUUGUCCGGCCUGAGGUGCCUCAGAAAUCCAGGUCAUGGCAUUGUGGAGUUAGGCAGGAACCAAUAUAGGGACACAGUGCGGACGGAGAUGAGCUUUGAAGGCCGAGGUCCUCCGGUUCUGGUGCUGACCCCGUUCCUGCUGGGCUCUGCAGCCUUGGGCAAGGCGCACCAGUCAGCUUGCCCAUCUCUGGAGAGAAGAUAACAUUUAGAUGGCCAUUAUAAGAAUUAAUUAAUGUUUGAUUAGGUCUUUGGAAUUAUAAAGCACCAGAUAACCAUUAAGGAUUAUUAUAGCCCAAUUUACUUUCAUGUUCGUUAUCACUCGGAACAACUUCUCAGAGCUCCAAGUAGAAUUUAAUAUUGGCAUCUAGAGCAAAGAACAGAAAAUCAAAGGUUAUUUUCUGCCCAGGUCUCCUUCUCCCAAAUGGGGAGCAACUCCUAAGACAGGAAGAACAUAUGGCAGAGAAAAUCCUUUACUCUUGGGAAUAAGUCACUAGGGCCACAUUUGGAUCAGGUUUCUCUCAAGCAUUAAUUACAAAAUUUGUGAGUGCGUGUGCAUAUAUCGCAGAACAGAGACUUCUGUGGGUUCUGUGGCAUCAUUGAAAAGGGGAGAAAGACCAUGGCUUAGAAUGAGAAACUGUCAGUGCUUAGAUGAGCGGUGUUGUUAUUUUCAGAUUUUAAAGAGAGAGAAAUGGAGAUUUGAGAGAUUUGCAUAAGGCCAAAGAGCGAACACGUGGAGGAAACCGACUCCUCUGUUGCUCACUCCCAUUUGCUUCUUGGCAAAUUUACUCCCCUGUAUUUUUAUAACCAUGUCACCUCAUAGCACGCAAUAAAGAACAUGGGACACUU